rnacentral:misc_RNA from 1 species
CGCGCACAAGUCGCUCCUUCUUGCUCCUUUCGUUUUUUUUUCCUUCUCAGUUUUUGUUUUUUUUAUUUGUUAUGCAUAUACACCUACGAGUUGCUUUCGGUCGUCCUGCUCCUUCAUCAUGCCUCCGUCUCUCACCUCCCCCUCCCCGUGUGCAAACAUUUUUCUUUGGGUGGAGGAGUUGGAGCUGUGGAACAAGAGGUACACAUGUUUCUCUGGCAGGGAACAUUUCGUCGGACGGCCACGACCUCACCAAAAAAAUCAUCAUCAUGGAAUCUAUACCUUUUUUUUGUGGUUCUAUAUAUUUAGACGUUUUUUUAUACAUGUAUGUAUACGGGCUAUGCGAUGCUGUCAGUACAAGGUCAUGUUGUUAGCUCAUAUACGCAGGAAAAUACUGGAG